GCCUGUUCGAGCGUCAUUAUGACCACUCAAGCCUAGCUUGGUAUUGGGGUUCGCGGUCUCGCGGCCCUUAAAAUCAGUGGCGGUGCAUCUGGCUCUAAGCGUAGUAAUUUAUCUCGCUAUUGGGUCCGGUGGUUGCUUGCCAACAACCCUCAACUUCUAAGGUUGACCUCGGAUCAGGUAGGGAUACCCGCUGAACUUAA
rnacentral:misc_RNA from 1 species